rnacentral:rRNA from 1 species
UGGCGGCACUAGCGCGGUGGUCCCACCUGACCCCAUGCCGAACUCAGAAGUGAAACGCCGUAGCGCCGAUGGUAGUGUGGGGUCUCCCCAUGUGA